rnacentral:tRNA from 1 species
GGCGAGAUAGUAUAAUGGCUAGUACACUCGGUUCUGAUCAGCAACCACUUCCGAGCAAUCUGGGUUCGAUCCCCAGUCACGCCU